GGACGGGUGAGUAAUGCCUAGGAAAUUGCCUUGAUGUGGGGGAUAACCAUUGGAAACGAUGGCUAAUACCGCAUAAUGCCUACGGGCCAAAGAGGGGGACCUUCGGGCCUCUCGCGUCAAGAUAUGCCUAGGUGGGAUUAGCUAGUUGGUGAGGUAAUGGCUCACCAAGGCGACGAUCCCUAGCUGGUCUGAGAGGAUGAUCAGCCACACUGGAACUGAGACACGGUCCAGACUCCUACGGGAGGCAGCAGUGGGGAAUAUUGCACAAUGGGCGAAAGCCUGAUGCAGCCAUGCCGCGUGUAUGAAGAAGGCCUUCGGGUUGUAAAGUACUUUCAGUUGUGAGGAAGGGGGUNNNGUUAAUANCGGUAUCUCUUGACGUUAGCAACAGAAGAAGCACCGGCUAACUCCGUGCCAGCAGCCGCGGUAAUACGGAGGGUGCGAGCGUUAAUCGGAAUUACUGGGCGUAAAGCGCAUGCAGGUGGUUCAUUAAGUCAGAUGUGAAAGCCCGGGGCUCAACCUCGGAACUGCAUUUG
rnacentral:rRNA from 1 species